UGCUACCCCCGCGACCCGACCUCGGAUAAGCGGAAGAAGAUGGAUGGGAUAUUAACAUUUUCAGAUUAUUAAGCAGGUCUGUCAAGCAACAGGCUUCGCUGGUAGUUUUUACUGCAUUCAGUCUCUAAUCAGGAAUGUAUCCAUUUUCUUCUUCUUGUGAUUAAAGUUGUUGACAAACCAUCUUGUCUCAUCUUGUGAUUUCAUAUUUUAGGGAGUUAUUGAUUUGAAAACAACUCUGCGUGUUUGUUUAUAUCAGAACAGAUCAAAAAGCUGCUUUUGAGGAUUUGAUUCAAGGUUUCUCUAUUCAGCUCACACACACACACACCGACACACACAAACACACACCGACACACCCCGACAUGCACAGCAGCAGAAAGGAUCAAGGUUAACACCUGGCAGGUUUCCAUGAAGGUGGGGGUUGAAAGUUUAACACAUGUACGCUCUGCAUGACUGUUGCUCCUUCUGGGAAUUGGUGUGUGUGUGUGAGAACACACACACACACCAGAGCCUUGUGAAUGACCAUUGAAGCUCCUCAGCCUGUCAGUCUUUGAUUUUCCUGCAUAAUGCGGCAGCUGCAGCAGCUGCAGCAGCUGUUCUGGUCACUAUGAAGUUUUGGCACCACUAAAAGUUUUCACCUUAUAAAAAUAAUAUUUUGUUCCCUCACAGUGAAUCUGGACCUGCUGCGUCUUCAGUAGUGAAACAUGAUGCCGUUUUCUCCUGUCUUAGAGUUUGUAGCAUGAAAUGCUAAUGCUAAUGCUAAUGCUAAUGAGACUGUGGUGGGUUGUUGUUGUUGUGGUACAGGAAGGUGGCAGCACUGGGACUGGAUCUCGCUCCAGAACCGGUCUGUUCCUCAGAACCUGCAGUAGAACCGGUCGGUUCUGAGUUCUGCCUCGGCUUACUGAGCUCUGAGUGAUUCGGACCAGCAGGCUCGGCUCAACCAAACUCCGUCACCAUGAACUGGACUCGGGUCGAGACUUUAACGCACUCAUUUAAAUUCAUUAAUUAUGUGGAUUUCAACGCGUUAACAAUAAAUUGUGAGAAAAGGUUCUGGCCGCAGCGUGUUUCUGGUCCGCCUGUAAAUCUGAUGUAGCAUCAGCUACAUCCGCUAACACGAAGCCGCUUCUCUCUGGAGUUUAAUUUCUGCUUCCAAAUCGAUCUGAUUGGACGAUGGAGAAGAUUUUUACCUCACCAUUUCACAAAGUUCCUCUGGUUGUUACUUUACAGGACCGGUCUGGAUGUACGAAAGUUUCUGCUCACUUUUACUGUUUCCAUAUCAUCAUUUCAGUUCUUAAUAAGCUGCAUAAAGUGCCAUGUUUUUAAUUUUAUUGAAACUUCCGCAGUAGUUUUUCUUUAAGCAGAGGUUGACGCUCCGCUCACAGCAUGCUAACAUUAACAUUUAAAUGGAUCCAACAAAAACGUGGAGAGUUUUUUUGACCUCAUUUUUCCAGCUGCCUGGUGAAGCAGCGGCUCAGUUUCCGCUUCAUCGUGGUCACGUGUUUCCUCCUGGACCCGCCCCUCCCUGUUUGCCGGUCUUACAGGUCACAGGAACUGUUUGGGUUGCAUCACGUCGUUUCCUGAGUUGCAUCAUUUAUUUAUCUGGCUGAGUAAACAAGAAGCUGAGCUGUGAAUAUUUAAGCGGAGCUGUUUGUGUGGCGAAGCUGCUAAUGAUGCUCCAUCGGCUCUGAUCCGCGGAUCCUGGUGGUGAAACAGUCGGACUUCGUCCCAGAGACCCAGAGAGGAAAGGUUCCCACCAGAACAGGACAUCCGACAUGACGUCACCGCUAGCUGUUAGCCUCCUGUCGCAGUGGAUCCUCAUAUGCAUUCAAACCGAACCAGAGUUCACUUCAACCGAACCUGGAACGAGGUUAGCUUAGCGUUCACACCAAACAACCAAACCGGACUUUCUGGACCAAUGGACUGGAGCUGGGUUAAAGCGGACAGAACAGGCCUGGUGUGAAAACUCUUAAAGUGUGUAAUUCAGACGGAUUCACCAGAACUGGACCAGAACAGGCCGGAAAAGUGUUUCCUGGUUCGAUGAAUCUGGAUUUGAGCCGCAGCGUUGAGACGGUCGGCUCUGAAAACGACGUCCAACCAGAAACCUCUGGUCGGCUGAAAGUGGGACAAAGACGACCAGAGAGGGAGGCGAAGCGUCUGAAAGUUCACUGAGCAGAGUCACCACGUCUCCAUGGCAACCGUUAGACUCCAAACGGCAGCUGGAGGAAAGUCAGAGCAGAUCGGAGAGGAGAAAGAACCUCCAGAACCGGAACAAUAGCUUCAACUGUUUCCAUCUUCUGCCAGGACGAAUGUGGACAGAACAUCCGAUGGACAGACUGAUCCGGUUCGGUCAGUAGGAUCAUUUAAAGGAGAUCUGAGAUCCUCAAGCAGAUUAAUGUCUGAACAUGUUUGUAUAAUAAUUCAUACUUCAAGACAUCACCUGCAGGUCAAGCAGAACAGAAACUGGGCUGGAAUUAAAAUCCGUUUCCGCUCCGACCUUAACGCCACGAAUCUCCUGAAACGGACAUGAAAAGAGAAAGAGGGCUAAGAUACAGCAGGUGACCCGAUCGCAGCCGGCAGCCCGUCCUGACGCCCUGCAGCCUCCGCCUGCACCAAAUAUCCUCCCUGCUCCAUCUUGGCUCAUUUUAACGAGGUUAAAAAAGUUAAUAACACCAAAUGUUCCGUCGCCGCGGCAAUAAAACCAGUUUAUAUACUGCAGAGAAAAUGAGGCCGGUAAUCACUGCCUCCCGAAACCUCAGCAGCUGCAAGCCGAGCCGCGUGUGUGUGAAAGACAUGCAGGUGCAACACACCCACACACACACGCACACCCACA